CGAAUGCUUUUUCACUCUCUGCUGAUAUGACUGACCAUGACACAUGGCAGUUGAUCUCUUCUUUUCGAUCGAAUUCAGCAUCAGUCAACUUGGGACUUUGAGGGUGCUAUUUUUCCUUUGUUUUUUCUUUUGAUUUUGCUUUUGAUUUCUUUUGAUUUCUUUUGAUUUCUUUUGCACCCUUUCUUUCUUUGUUUUUUUUUUUUGAUUGAUUUUUUUUGAUGCCCCAGUUGGCUGUUCUGCUGAUUCUCGAGAUGCAGC
rnacentral:lncRNA from 1 species